GUCAUGAUGGCUCAGUGGUUAGCGCGCUCGCCUCUCACCUGCAGGGUCAGGGGCUCGAUUCCCGCUUCCGCCG